rnacentral:rRNA from 1 species
AUGGACCCGGCUGAGAUUUUGAACGUCAAGUUUCAUAUAGGGGGGCAGUUUGUUCGAAUUGGUCCUUCUCUGGACUAUGUCGGGGGAGAUGUGGCCUACUCUGAGAUUGAGAGGGACAAGGUGUCCUUGCAGGAGGUCAAGGGUUUUCUUGCAGAUCAUUUGACAGUAAAGGAAAGCAUGAAGUUUUAUUUUCUUAUGCCUGGCAGAGACUUGAUUAAUGGGCUACUGUUUCUACAUGAUGAUGCGGGUUGCAUGAUGAUGUCAGAUCAGACAACAAAUGGUGGAGUUGCAGAAAUUUUUGUGGAGUACAAUGGGGAACAGGAUGAAGAAGGAGAGCAGGAGAGUGGCUCUGAUUUUGAGGAUGAAAUUCAGGAUCAUAUGCAGGAAAGUGAAGAAGAUAUGCCUAUUGUCAUGACUGCUGAAGAAGUGCAAUUGGAUCAUCAGAAUGACAAUGCAGAUGAAGAAUUAGUACAACAAGUGCUUGUCCCCAAUGACAAUGGUGUUGUUACUGCAGUGAUAAGCAGCCCAUUGAAGAGAAGAAGUUCUGAAGCUUGCAAUCUUUCUCAGAGUUCUCAAGUGUGCAAUCCUUCUCAGCCUGCAACACUGCCCACAGUAGCAGUUUCAGCAAGAUAUAAAGCAACAACACAAGGAUCAGGCUUGCAACAAUAG